rnacentral:rRNA from 1 species
AAUCAACGCUGGCGGCGUGCCUCAGACAUGCAAGUCGAACGCGAAAUUUCCCUUCGGGAGAAAGUAGAGUGGCGCACGGGUGAGUAACACGUAGGUAAUUUGCCUUUGGGUGGGGAAUAACUCAGGGAAACUUGAGCUAAUACCGCAUAAUGCAGCGGCUCGACAUCGAGACAGUUGUUAAAGCGGGGGAUUGGAGCAAUCCGACCUCGCGCCUAAAGAGAAGCCUGCGGCAGAUUAGCUGGUUGGUAAGGUAAUGGCUUACCAAGGCGACGAUCUGUAACCGGCCUGAGAGGGCGGUCGGGUCACACUGACACUGACAUACGGGUCAGACUCCUACGGGAGGCAGCAAGUCGGAAUUUUGGGCAAUGGGCGCAAGCCUGACCCAGCAACGCCGCGUGAAGGAUGAAAUUUUCGGAAUGUAAACUUCGCAAGAACAGGAAGAAUAAGUGUGGGACAAUACCCCACAUGAUGACGGUACUGUUUAGUAAGCUCCGGCUAACUCCGUGCC